rnacentral:rRNA from 1 species
GAUGAACGCUGGCGGCGUGCCUAACACAUGCAAGUCGAGCGAAUGAAGUUCCUUCGGGAACGGAUUUAGCGGCGGACGGGUGAGUAACACGUGGGCAACCUGCCUCAUAGAGGGGAAUAGCCUUCCGAAAGGGAGAUUAAUACCGCAUAAGAUUGUAGUACCGCAUGGUACAGCAAUUAAAGGAGCAAUCCGCUAUGAGAUGGGCCCGCGGCGCAUUAGCUAGUUGGUGAGGUAACGGCUCACCAAGGCGACGAUGCGUAGCCGACCUGAGAGGGUGAUCGGCCACAUUGGGACUGAGACACGGCCCAGACUCCUACGGGAGGCAGCAGUGGGGAGUAUUGCACAAUGGGGGAAACCCUGAUGCAGCAACGCCGCGUGAGUGAUGACGGCCUUCGGGUUGUAAAGCUCUGUCUUCAGGGACGAUAAUGACGGUACCUGAGGAGGAAGCCACGGCUAACUACGUGCCAGCCGCCGCCGUAAUAC